UUCGAUUCGAGCGAAAGCGAGAAAGCGUUGCCGCAGGCAACGACCCGAAGGGCGAAACGCGCAGCGCUGAGUCAUCCUUCCCCCACCACCA
rnacentral:sRNA from 2 species